rnacentral:rRNA from 1 species
AGGGGGUUUGAUCCUGGCUCAGAACGAACGCUGGCGGCAGGCUUAACACAUGCAAGUCGAGCGCUUGAACCGGUUUCGGCCGGGAACGGAGCGGCAGACGGGUGAGUAACGCGUGGGAACCUGCCCAGGGGUAAGGAAUAACUCAUGGAAACGUGAGCUAAUACCUUAUACGUCCCCCGGGAGAAAGAUUUAUCGCCCUUGGAUGGGCCCGCGUUGGAUUAGCUUGUUGGUGGGGUAAUGGCCCACCAAGGCGACGAUCCAUAGCUGUUCUGAGAGGAAGAUCAGCCACACUGGGACUGAGACACGGCCCAGACUCCUACGGGAGGCAGCAGUGGGGAAUCUUGGACAAUGGGCGCAAGCCUGAUCCAGCCAUGCCGCGUGAGUGAUGAAGGCCCUAGGGUUGUAAAGCUCUUUCACCGGUGACGAUAAUGACGGUAGCCGGAGAAGAAGCCCCGGCUAACUUCGUGCCAGCAGCCGCGGUAAUACGAAGGGGGCUAGCGUUGUUCGGAAUUACUGGGCGUAAAGCGCACGUAGGCGGAUGAUUAAGUUAGAGGUGAAAGCCCGGGGCUCAACUCCGGAAUUGCCUUUGAUACUGAUUGUCUUGAGACCGGGGAGAGGA